CAUGCAGUCGGACGGUAGCACAGAGAGCUUGCUCUUGGGUGACGAGUGGCGGACGGGUGAGUAAUGUCUGGGGAUCUGCCCGAUAGAGGGGGAUAACCACUGGAAACGGUGGCUAAUACCGCAUAACGUCGCAAGACCAAAGAGGGGGACCUUCGGGCCUCUCACUAUCGGAUGAACCCAGAUGGGAUUAGCUAGUAGGCGGGGUAAUGGCCCACCUAGGCGACGAUCCCUAGCUGGUCUGAGAGGAUGACCAGCCACACUGGAACUGAGACACGGUCCAGACUCCUACGGGAGGCAGCAGUGGGGAAUAUUGCACAAUGGGCGCAAGCCUGAUGCAGCCAUGCCGCGUGUAUGAAGAAGGCCUUCGGGUUGUAAAGUACUUUCAGCGGGGAGGAAGGCGACGGGGUUAAUAACCCUGUCGAUUGACGUUACCCGCAGAAGAAGCACCGGCUAACUCCGUGC
rnacentral:rRNA from 1 species